UACGUAGGCGGAAUAUUAAGUCAGUGGUGAAAUCCUGCGGCUCAACCGUAGAACUGCCAUUGAUACUGAUAUUCUUGAAUGUAGAUGAGGUAGGCGGAAUGUGUAAUGUAGCGGUGAAAUGCUUAGAUAUUACACAGAACACCGAUUGCGAAGGCAGCUUACUAAACUAUGAUUGACGCUGAUGUACGAAAGCGUGGGGAGCGAACAGGAUUAGAUACCCUGGUAGUCC
rnacentral:rRNA from 1 species